rnacentral:tRNA from 1 species
UGGGUUGUGGCUCAGUGGUAGAGCAUUUGCCUAGCACAUACAUGUGAGGCACUGGGUUCAAUCUCCAGCAUCACAU